rnacentral:rRNA from 1 species
AUUCUGGCUCCGAGUGAACGCUGGUAACAUAUUUUAACACAUGCAAAUCGAACGAAGAGCAAAAUAUUGCUUUAAGUGGUGACCUGGUGAGUAGCAUAGGAGAAUUGAAGUGUAGGUUAGGUUAAAUACCUGAAUUUAUUAAUAAAGAUAAAAGAUUUAUAUCGCCUACAAUAGAGCUUCUAAAGGAUUAGGUAGUUGUUGUAGUAAUUAUUCAACAAGCCGACGAUGCUUAGCUGGUUUGAGAGAAUGAUCAGCCACAUUGGGACUGAAAACGGCCCAAGUCUUCUAAAAGGGCAGCAGUGGAGAAUAUUUGACAAUGGGCGAAAGCUUGAUCGAGUAAUGUUACGUGGGUGAUCAGAAGGCUUAAUUGCUGUAAAACUCGUUUCGUCAAGGAUUAUAAUGCAAUCGUACUUGAAGGAGAAGCCCUGACUAACUUCGUGCCAGCAGUCGCGGUAAUACGGAGAGGGCGGGUGUUAUUCGCAUUGACUGGGUGUAAAGGGUGCGUAGGUGGCUUGUUAAGUUUCAAAGUAAAGGUUAAAUUCAAAGUUUAAAGGCUUUUUAAUACUAACAGGCUAGAGUUUACUAGAAGAUAGCUGAACAUUAAGUGUAAAGGUGAAAUUUUUCGAUAUUUAAAGGACAUGCAAUAGGCGAAGGCUGCUAUCUAUUUUAAUACUGACACUGAGGCACAAAAGCAUAGGGAUCAAACAGGAUUAGAGACCCUGGUAGUCUAUGCCCUGACCGAUGAAUAUUGAUUAUACUGCAAGGUGUAAUUAAGCUAACGCGUAAAUAUUCCACCUGAGUACUACGACCGCAAGGUUAAAACUCAAAGAAACUGACGGAAGAUUGUAUAAGCGGUGGAGUAUGUGGUUUAAUUUGAUAUAACGCAAAGAAUCUUACCAACCCUUGAAUACAAGUUGUUUUAGCUCUGAUAUGGGUUAUUCCUAUUAUUACUAGCUUUUUUAUAUAAUGUGUUUUGAUAUAUUAUAUUGACUUGUACAGGUGCUGCAUGGUUGUCGGCAGUUCGUGUUGUGAAAUGUUUUGUUAAUUCAUUUAACGGACGUAACCUUCAGUUUUAUUUGUUUUCAAAAAAAAUAAAGCAAUAUUAAUUUGAAAAUUAAUUGAGAGAAGAAGAAGUCAAAUCAUUAUGGCCUAUAUAGGUUGGGCUACACACGUACUA